CCUCCUUGGCUCACUGGGUAAAUGGAAGAUAAAAUGGUAAGUCUCCAGAAAUUCCUCUGGCAGUGUAGGUGGGAGGUGGGUGAGGGUUGGUGGAAAUAAGUACAGCUUCUAAAAUCUGGGAUGGGCUCCCCAGGACUCUAGAGGUGAAAGGCAGCAGACCUGACACAUCCAGGCAGGCUGGGGUGUUCUGCUGCCCAGGAUCUUCCGGGUGGGGAUAUUGGUUUGGUGUUUGCCAACUUCCCCACCCUGGAGGCAGGAGUUAUUCUCCUUUCCCAACAGCCUGGCAGAGUUGCCCAGGAGGAGGCAGUGGAGUUAAGAAGCCUGGGUCAGAGCUCCUCAGCUGUGCAGACAACUCCUACUUGUUCUUCAACGCUCAACUUUAAGUUCAGUCACCACCUGCAGAAAGCUUCUCCAAAACCUCCCCACCUGGCUGACUAAGGGGCUGGCUUUAUGCUCUUACAGUACUCACGCUUCCUACUGUCACAGUUCUGACCACACAAUGGGAAAACGUCUCUAACUAGAGACCUGUCUUGCCUCUUGUGCCUGUAGUACGGGAUAGGUGCCCAGUGUGUGUUGAUUGUAUGAAUCAAUCUCUGUGACUCCAGAGUUCCUUUCUCCAGGAGAUUGGACAUCACCCCUGCAAUCAACAAUGCAAGCCACUGCUGUUUCCUCCAUCCUGAGUGUGAGGAACCUAUCCAGUUUCUCUCUCAGAUCCCAGGGCCAUAGAGGCAAGUCCAGCCUUGGUCUAGAACCAAAGAUGGAAACAAAAAGGGGCCAGAAUGUGUUGCCUUCUUGAGCCUGGUCUGACUCCUGAGUGGAAGUCUGAUUCCAGGUACAUGAGAUAAGCACUAAUACCUCCAGUUUGCAGAUUAAGAGACUGAGGUCCUGAAGAGGUUAAAGAACUUGGCUCAAGUCACGUAGCUGGUGAGCAGCAAGAUACAAGAAUCAACCCAAGUCCAGGAGGCUGUGUGCCGUUUACACUUCACAUCUGUGCUCCCAGGUCUGUCUGGUCUGACCCUGCCCUGGGCCUCUGGAGGGUCUGGGAUGUACUGACUGCUGCAGCUGCAGGCCAUGUGCCUGUUCUCGUCCCCUGGGGUGAUGACUGCUUACCAGGCAGCUGCAGAAAGCUUGGAGCUAUGUCUCCUGCCAUCAUCCAGGCAGGUGCCUCUCAGUGGGCCAGAGGGGCUCUUCGCCUACCUCAUCCUGCUUCCAGGAUGCUAGGGCUUGGGAGGGGAGCAGCUGGAGGCAGGGUCCCCUUCCCCGAGCAGGAACACAGCAAGCCUAUUUACAUUUGACUACUUCCCACUUUCCUCUGCAGCUAUUUCUGAAGGUGGGAAAAACAACCGUGACUUAAAGGGCACAGAGGUUUUGCGUAGGGGUGUGUGUGCACUGACACGUAAAACUCAGGGUAAACAAACACACGUGCACACAUGCAUGCAUGCCUGCAUACAUGUGCAAGGGAACCCAGUUACCCAAGCCAGUGUAUGGGGGUCAGGAAGCAGGGAGGGAAUUUUGUGGUGUUCUAUGUGGGUGGAAAGGAAGGAGGGAAUAAGCUGAGUCUCCAAGAGGUCCCUGUUUUGGAACUGGAUCUAUGGCCAGUAGUCCUGCCACACUUACAUACCAGAGACCCCUGACUGCCACCUAGACCUGCUGUGAGAGAGCAGACCUACCAGCAAAUAGAUCAGGACCCAAAUCGCGGCCCUACUACUCACUACCCAAGUACCUGAGGCAAAGCUACUUGACUGCUCUGAGCAACCAUUUCCUUCUGUAUUACAUGAGAUUGUCAUUGGAAUUAAAUGAGUGUGUUGC